rnacentral:tRNA from 1 species
GGCACCGUAGCUCAGUUGGUAGAGCGGGGGAUUCAUAAGCCCUAGGUCUCCGGUUCGAGUCCGGACGGUGCCA